rnacentral:lncRNA from 1 species
GAGACCGCCCAGGGGAUCAAGAGGCUUUGUGCACGCUCUCCGCAGAGGCCUCCGUGACGGAACCGGGAUGACUGAACCCGAGUCCGAGGCCAGGUGGCCAUCAAGAUGAGGCACAUGGUCCCCGAAAACUUGGACGUGGGGCGCCGGUUUGACGUCUGUCAGCCAAUGGAAGGCCUGAUUAAGAGAAGUUUGGGGCCGAUGUGCAGGAAGUUUUCGGCAUCUUCCAGAGUCUGCGCGUGACGUAAUCACCGAAGGACAGACAUAGCAUUUAGUGCGGAGAGAAGGAGCAGGCCAUGGAGGGGCUGGCCUCAGACUCCGAGACCAAAUGCACACAGAAGUGUCUGAUGGAAAUCAGUGGUCAAGGACAAGCUAUAUAUAUUUCGUGAAAGAGAGAGAGGAGAGAGAGAGGGAGAGAAGCUUAAAAAUCGCUGCCAUCUGCGAAACACGGGGUUGUUGGAGAAGAACCAUUAAAAGCUAGUUGACAACCAACUAUUUCAAGCCGUUGGAAUGUCUGGUCAGAGUUGUAGACCUCAUUUGGUCCCCUGUGCCAAGGAGAUGAGUCUGUUUUGGAACGCAUGGCUUCCUGUUCUUUUACGGAAAGAGACAAAAAUCCAGGAAGCUUAGAGGAGACUAAGGAUGGGAUGCCCAUCUGUAUGUGUGUUCGCGCGUGCAUGUCAGGGACUCAGGUGACAACAAUAAAACUCUGCGACUUUACAAAGACCCUAAUCCCACUCUUUUGGAAAAGGUUAAACUACCCGUUUCCCCAUUUUAUGUCAUACACACGGAGAACUGUCACUAACCGUUGUCUUCUCUUUUCGUUACUUCACGAUUAUCGUACCCUUGAAGCCUAGAAGCUAAUUGGCAGAGAAAACUCUUGAAUUAAAGGUGUGGGUGAUUAUGAACAGAAGUCCCAGGCAUUCAGACUCCUCCCCAGCCCUCCAAACUCCCAGGGGCUUGUUUUCUGUAGCCCUUGGAUCAUAAUAUUUUCCAGACAUUCAGGAAUUAUAUCAAGAAGACAUUUGACCACUUUGCUCCCUGCGUUGAAAAAGAAAACUCACUUAAGUAACACAGCAGCCUUAUACUACUUUUAGUAGUUGUAAAAG